AACGAACGCUGGCGGCAUGCCUAACACAUGCAAGUCGAACGAGACCUUCGGGUCUAGUGGCGCACGGGUGCGUAACGCGUUGGAACCUGCCCUUAGGUUCGGAAUAGCUCCCCGAAAGGGGUGCUAAUACCGGAUAAUGUCUUCGGACCAAAGAUUUAUCGCCUUUGGAUGGGCCCGCGUUGGAUUAGCUAGUUGGUAGGGUAAAAGCCUACCAAGGCGACGAUCCAUAGCUGGUCUGAGAGGAUGAUCAGCCACACUGGGACUGAGACACGGCCCAGACUCCUACGGGAGGCAGCAGUGGGGAAUAUUGGACAAUGGGCGAAAGCCUGAUCCAGCAAUGCCGCGUGAGUGAUGAAGGCCUUAGGGUUGUAAAGCUCUUUUACCCGGGAUGAUAAUGACAGUACCGGGAGAAUAAGCUCCGGCUAACUCCGUG
rnacentral:rRNA from 1 species